rnacentral:rRNA from 1 species
GACGAACGCUGGCGGCGUGCUUAACACAUGCAAGUCGAACGGUGAAGCGCCUUCCUUUUUGGUGGGUGUGGAUGAGUGGCGAACGGGUGAGUAACACGUGAGUAACCUGCCCCCUUCUUCUGGAUAACCGCAUGAAAGUGUGGCUAAUACGGGAUAUUCUGGGUCUGUCGCAUGAUGGGUCUGGGAAAGAUAUUGUUUCGGUGGGGGAUGGGCUCGCGGCCUAUCAGCUUGUUGGUGGGGUGAUGGCCUACCAAGGCGGUGACGGGUAGCCGGCCUGCGAGGGUGGACGGUCCCACUGGGACUGAGACACGGCCCAGACUCCUACGGGAGGCAGCAGUGGGGAAUAUUGCACAAUGGGCGCAAGCCUGAUGCAGCGACGCCGCGUGAGGGAUGGAGGCCUUCGGGUUGUGAACCUCUUUCGCCAGUGAAGCAGGCCUGCCUCGUUUGUGGGUGGGUUGACGGUAGCUGGAUAAGAAGCGCCGGCUAACUACGUG